rnacentral:rRNA from 1 species
AUGCAAGUCGAACGAGAAAGCGGGCUUCGGCCCGUGAGUACAGUGGCAGACGGGUGAGUAAUACGUGGGUAACCUGCCCGGAGGUGGGGGAUAACCUUUCUAACGGAGGGCUAAUACCGCAUAACAUCUCGAGGUCUUCGGACUUCGAGAUCAAAGCUAGCCUCUACUUGUAAGCUAGUACCACCGGAGGGACUCGCGCUCCAUUAGCUUGAUGGUGAGGUAACGGCUCACCAUGGCGACGAUGGAUAGCCGGCCUGAGAGGGCGAUCGGCCACACUGGAACUGAGACACGGUCCAGACUCCUACGGGAGGCAGCAGUGAGGAAUCUUGCGCAAUGGGCGAAAGCCUGACGCAGCGACGCCGCGUGGAGGACGAAGGCCUUCGGGUCGUAAACUCCUGUCAAGAGGGACGAAUGCUGCAGGGAUGAAUAAGCCCUGCAGUUGACGGUACCUCUGAAGGAAGCCCCGGCUAACUCCGUGCCAGCAGCCGCGGUAAUACGGAGGGGGCAAGCGUUGUUCGGAAUUAUUGGGCGUAAAGGGCGCGUAGGCGGCCUGGUAAGUCAGUUGUGAAAGCCCUCGGCUCAACCGAGGAAUUGCGACUGAUACUGCCGGGCUUGAGUCCUGGAGAGGGUAGUGGAAUUCCCAGUGUAGCGGUGAAAUGCGUAGAUACUGGGAGGAACACCGGUGGCGAAGGCGACUACCUGGACAGGUACUGACGCUGAGGCGCGAAAGCGUGGGGAGCAAACAGGAUUAGAUACCCUGGUAGUCCACGCCGUA